rnacentral:rRNA from 1 species
CUAAGCAAGAAAGAGCGUAUGGCGGAUGCCUAGGCACUAAGAGGCGAAGAAGGACGCAGCGAACGGCGAAACGCGACGGCGAGCAGUAAGCAGGCAACGACCCGUCGAUGUCCGAAUGGGGGAACCCAUCAUUCCGAGAGGGAUGAUAUCGUCUGAUGAAUAAAUAGUCAGACGAGGCGAGACGCAGGGAACUGAAACAUCUCAGUACCUGCAGGAGAAGAAAGUAAGAACGAUUCCGUGAGUAGCGGCGAGCGAAAGCGGAGGAGCCCAAACCAUCGCAAAGAUGGGGUUAUAGGGCUGCCGACAAAGUCGACUUGACAUGAUAGGAGAAGCGCAGGGGAAGGCGCAGCGAAGAGGGUGACACUCCCGUAUCCGAAAUCGUGGAGAGAGGCGAGGCAGUACCUGAGUACGUCGGGGCACGUGAAAUCCUGACGGAAUUAUCGAGGACCAUCUCGAAAGGCUAAAUACUCCUUAGUGACCGAUAGCGAACCAGUACCGUGAGGGAAAGGUGAAAAGAACCCCGGGAGGGGAGUGAAAGAGAACCUGAAACCGUAUGUCUACAAGCAGUCGGAGCGAAAGCGACGGCGUGCCUAUUGAAGAAUGAACCAACGAGUUACGUGCACUAGCGAGGUUAAGUGGAAGACACGGAGCCGAAGCGAAAGCGAGUCUUAAGAGGGCGGAUAGUUAGUGUACGUAGACCCGAAACCGCAGUGAUCUACCCAUGUCCAGGUUGAAGCGCAGGUAAAAUUGCGUGGAGGACCGAACCUGUGAGCGUUGAAAAGCUUUAGGAUGAGAUGUGGGUAGAGGUGAAAUUCCAAUCGAACGCGGAGAUAGCUGGUUCUCCCCGAAAUAGCUUUAGGGCUAGCCUCAAGUAGUAAGUAUAGGCGGUAGAGCACUGAUCGGGCUAGGGGCCAUAAAGGUUACCGAACCCUGUCAAACUCCGAAUGGUUAUACUGUAGAGCUUGGGAGUCAGACUACGAGUGAUAAGAUCCGUGGUCAAAAGGGAAACAGCCCAGACCACCAGCUAAGGUCCCCAAUGUCGUACUAAGUGGAAAAGGAUGUGGGGUCUCUAAAACAACCAGGAUGUUGGCUUAGAAGCAGCCACCAUUUAAAGAGUGCGUAAUAGCUCACUGGUCGAGAGACCCUGCGCCGAAGAUUACCGGGGCUAAAGUACGAAACCGAAGCUGUGGCUACGACGUAAGUCGUGGGGUAGGGGAGCGUUCUGUGAGGGCUGAAGUCGUUCUGUAAGGAACGGUGGACUUCACAGAAGUGAGAAUGUUGGUAUGAGUAGCGAAAAGAAUGGUGAGAAUCCAUUCCACCGAAAGCAUAAGGAUUCCUGGGCAACGAUCGUCGUCCCAGGGUAAGUCGGGACCUAAUCCGAGGCAUGGAGCGUAGGAGAUGGACAACUGGCAGAUAUUCCAGUACCGGUAAUGAUUGUUUGAGCGAUGGAGUGACACAGGAGGGCAGGCAGGCAGGAGAUUGGUUGUUCCUGUACAAGCGUGUAGGAUGGGUUGCAGGCAAAUCCGCAACCUGUGAGUCUGAGGCGUGAUGUGGAGGUUCCGGAAACGGAACCGAAGCUGCUGACCCCACACUGUCGAGAAAAGCUUCUAGUUAGAGAAUUACCGCCCGUACCGUAAACCGACACAGGUAUGCGGGGAGAGAAUCCUAAGGUGCGCGGGAGAACCCUCGUUAAGGAACUCGGCAAAAUGUACCCGUAACUUCGGGAUAAGGGUAGCCGCUGUUGUGAAGUCUGAACAGAUGGAGCAUGAGGCGGUCGCAGAGAAGAGGCCCAAGCGACUGUUUACCACAAACACAGGUGCCUGCUAAAGAGAAAUCUGACGUAUAGGUGCUGACACCUGCCCAGUGCCGGAAGGUUAAGGAAGGAUGUCCGGAGCAAUCCAAAGCAUUCGACCGAAGCCCCGGUGAACGGCGGCCGUAACUAUAACGGUCCUAAGGUAGCGAAAUUCCUUGUCGGGUAAG